UUCUGCUACCAUACCAGCCUGAACAUACUGACCUUCUCUGAUUUUGGAAGCUAAGUAGGGUUGGGGCUCAUUAGUACUUGGAUAGGAGGCCAUCACAUAAUGUUAGGUACCUGCAGACA
rnacentral:rRNA from 1 species